ACGGUUAUAAAUCAACAUAUUGAUUUAUAAACAUGGAAAUCCCCUGAGUGAAACAACGAAUUGCUGUGUGUAGUCUUUGCCCAUCUCCCACGAUGGGCUUUUUUUAAC
rnacentral:other from 1 species